CCCGUCCAGCGGCGCACUCUGGCCCCGCCACCAGCAAACAGCCCGUUCUUCUGGUGGAAGAGCCGACUCAGAGUCAGCGCAGCCUGGGAGUGCUCGUCAGUGAUCGACAGCACGCCUUGAAAGAUGCCGCCGCCCGCUACAGAGGCAACACACACAGAUUUGAAUGUUGACUGUGAAAACUGGGAUUGGGUCCAGCAGUCCUCUAGUGAGGAUAAACGGUUAAGAAAAUGGAUGGAUGGAUGCAACUAAAGAAAAGUGGAACAUGCCGGGAAGCACUGAGAUUUUCACCUAUUGUGUGUGGGUGGGUCUUGAACGUAUCGCCUGUGAUAAACUGUACACAACAAGGUGGAAUUCUCUUACCCAAACCAGGGUGAAGGUGCGGGUACAAGUGCGCUCCGGGACCUCGGCUGGACACCAGC